rnacentral:rRNA from 1 species
AUACGUAGGGUGCGAGCGUUGUCCGGAAUUACUGGGCGUAAAGAGCUCGUAGGUGGUUUGUCGCGUCGUCUGUGAAAUUCCGGGGCUUAACUCCGGGCGUGCAGGCGAUACGGGCAUAACUUGAGUACUGUAGGGGAGACUGGAAUUCCUGGUGUAGCGGUGAAAUGCGCAGAUAUCAGGAGGAACACCGGUGGCGAAGGCGGGUCUCUGGUCAGUAACGGACGCUGAGGAGCGAAAGGAUGGGUAGCGAACAGGAUUAGAUUCCCUGGUAGUCCAUGCCGUAAGCGGUGGGCGCUAGGUGUAGGGGUCUUCCACGGCUUCUGUGCCGUAGCUAACGCAUUAAGCGCCCCGCCUGGGGAGUACGGCCGCAAGGCUAAAACUCAAAGGAAUUGACGGGG